rnacentral:sRNA from 1 species
UAGAAUAUUUCUCAUCAAUAUGUUUAAAAUAAUGGGAAGCAUUUUGCAACAUGGUCCGUACAUAUGUUUUACGGAUAAAGAUAAUAAGCUCGUAUACGGAAUAUGGCUCCUAGAGGCCCUGGUGCAACGAUCCAAAGGAGAAGAAUUCAAGGGAAAAGGACAAAGCACUGGGAAAACGAUAAGGAAUAGUCAGGCUCGUGGAAAUUCAGCAGCUCGCCAGAAGGAGGUAAUCGACGUAAGAAGACCCCAUGCCCCAGCCGCCAGAGUGAAGUACGUUUAGCGACAACUGCUUCUGAAAAUAAAGGAACCUUUAGUUGGUUCCACAUAAAUAAUACCAAACAUACUAGGAUGAGGAACCGAACACCCAUAGAUUUAAGAGUUACAUAAGCCGGGAAAUUCGUUAAGCAUCAAACCAAACUGAUUUUGAGA